CGGCGGAAAGGUCACAAGCAAUUGUGGCUUGGAAGCCUUCCUAUGUUUUAUUACAAACGCUUCAGUUUAAGAAUGUAUCUCUGCGUAUAACGCAUCUAUAUACAACUUUCAGCAACGGAUCUCUUGGCUCUCGCAUCGAUGAAGAACGCAGCGAAAUGCGAUAAGUAAUGUGAAUUGCAGAAUUCAGUGAAUCAUCGAAUCUUUGAACGCACCUUGCGCUCCCUGGUAUUCCGGGGAGCAUGCCUGUUUGAGUGUCAUGGUAUUCUCAACCUUCAUAACUUUUUGUUAUCGAAGGCUUGGACUUGGAGGUUGUGCUGGCUACUCGUCUAGUCGGCUCCUCUUAAAUGCAUUAGCGUGAGUGUAACGGAUCGCUUCGGUGUGAUAAUUAUCUGCGCCGUGGUCGUGAAGUAACAUAAGCUUGCGCUUCUAACCGUCCUUCAGUUGGACAAUUUACUUUGACAUCUGACCUCAAAUCAGGUAGGACUACCCGCUGAACUUAAGCAUAUCAAUAAGCGGAGGA
rnacentral:rRNA from 1 species